AACGAACGCUGGCGGCAGGCCUAACACAUGCAAGUCGAGCGAAGCCUUCGGGCUUAGCGGCGGACGGGUGAGUAACGCGUGGGAACGUGCCCCUUGGUACGGAAUAGCCCCGGGAAACUGGGAGUAAUACCGUAUGUGCCCUUCGGGGGAAAGAUUUAUCGCCAAAGGAUCGGCCCGCGUUGGAUUAGGUAGUUGGUGGGGUAAUGGCCUACCAAGCCGACGAUCCAUAGCUGGUUUGAGAGGAUGAUCAGCCACACUGGGACUGAGACACGGCCCAGACUCCUACGGGAGGCAGCAGUGGGGAAUCUUAGACAAUGGGGGAAACCCUGAUCUAGCCAUGCCGCGUGAUCGAUGAAGGCCUUAGGGUUGUAAAGAUCUUUCAGUGGGGAAGAUAAUGACUGUACCCGCAGAAGAAGCCCCGGCUAACUUCGUGCCAGCCGCCGCGGUAAGAC
rnacentral:rRNA from 1 species